AGUAAUGUCUUUUCUAGGGAACAAAAUGUAUAGAAAUUUAUUAUAGAAAUAUCCAGAAUCACUUUAGGACUAAAAGAACGUAAUUGACUAUGGAUAAUCAUAUCAUAGGACUCAGCACCAACUAAUGGUUGGAAUUUGCUAAUCAAUUAAUUAAGUGGGCCGUAGAAAGGAAUGGAAGAAGGCCUUAAAUGAUAGUAUUUGAAGCCCAACUCUGAGGCCCACGGACCAAGUUUCCUUACUUUUAUCAAAUCCAUCCAACUGUUUUUUCGAUCUCAUCAGCUACCAUUGAACCCCUCUUCUCCUCGAAAUUUCUAAGUUCCAAGCAUAGAGAUCAGCAAUUGGUAGGAGAUGGCAAAGAGAACGGGUGGUCCGGGGAUGAUAGGUUUCGACGGAGUGCGGCGGAGAAGAGCGAUGGAAUCUCCGGCGGCGGCUCCAUCGAUGUUGACUCGCGGUGUCAGCUCGGUUUUCAACUUUGUCCGGUUCGCAGAAUUCGAGAUCCUCUUCGUUCUCUUCUUCCUCGCGGCUUUCAUCAUUUUCAAAGAUCUGACCUCAAGACCUGAAUACAAUGAUAUCAUGGUGAAGAAGCCCGGUGGCCGUGAUUGGUGGCCCUACUAGUUCCAACAUACCUCUUCCCACAGAGAAUAUUACUCUUAUGAUUUUGAAAUAAAUACUAGUAGGAGUACUACUUUUCUUUUUCUUUCAUUGAUGAUUUAAGGCAUGUGAAAUGUAUUUGCAUUACAAUAUGGUAUAAUUUCACUAUCUACUCCCAAAAUCUUGUUUAUCAUA